rnacentral:rRNA from 1 species
UACGUAGGGGGCAAGCGUUGUCCGGAUUUAUUGGGCGUAAAGAGCGUGUAGGCGGCCACACAGGUCCGUUGUGAAAACUCGAGGCUCAACCUCGAGACGUCGAUGGAAACCGUGUGGCUAGAGUCCGGAAGAGGAGUGUGGAAUUCCUGGUGUAGCGGUGAAAUGCGCAGAUAUCAGGAAGAACACCUAUGGCGAAGGCAGCACUCUGGGACGGUACUGACGCUGAGACGCGAAAGCGUGGGGAGCGAACAGGAUUAGAAACCCCCGUAGUCC